GAUGAACGCUGGCGGCGUGCUUAACACAUGCAAGUCGAACGGAAAGGCCCAAGCUUGCUUGGGUACUCGAGUGGCGAACGGGUGAGUAACACGUGGGUGAUCUGCCCUGCACUUCGGGAUAAGCCUGGGAAACUGGGUCUAAUACCGCAUAGGACCACUUCUUGGAUGUUGUGGUGGAAAGUUUUUUCGGUGUGGGAUGAGCUCGCGGCCUAUCAGCUUGUUGGUGGGGUAAUGGCCUACCAAGGCGUCGACGGGUAGCCGGCCUGAGAGGGUGUACGGCCACAUUGGGACUGAGAUACGGCCCAGACUCCUACGGGAGGCAGCAGUGGGGAAUAUUGCACAAUGGGCGCAAGCCUGAUGCAGCGACGCCGCGUGGGGGAUGACGGCCUUCGGGUUGUAAACUCCUUUCGCUAGGGACGAAGCGUUUUGUGACGGUACCUGGAGAAGAAGCACCGGCUAACUACGUG
rnacentral:rRNA from 1 species